UUAUCAUCUGCAAAAGUUUGCUCAAUACUAUAGUUAGGUUCCUUCUUCAUAGAGAGGAUGGCAAUGGUGUGUGAGGCUACUGAAGGCCCAGAAGAGGAGGAAAAUGGUGCUAUCAAUAGAAUCGAUGAUUUACCAAAGAUGGACUAAGCCAUGUGCAAUCUUGAUGACCAUGGACUUGAGAUGGGAGAAGGACAUGGUUUCAGAGGACCCAGCAUCAAUGAGGGCAAGUUUGUAUGGAUAAGAAGAAUAGUUUCUAAAGAGGAAAGAGACCAUGGUGAGAUUUGGGUCUCUGGGUAAUACCAGAGGUGGUUUGAGUGACCUGAAAACCCCAUCAUGGUCAUACCCAUAUUUCUCCAUUGCAAAUUAAGCAAGAGAAGAGUGAUGGGUAAUUGGGUAGGUGUUUUUGAUGGAAAGAUAACAAUUUAUUCAGAUUUGGGGCAAAUGGGUAACACUAUAUGUUUGUCUCUAGUUUUUCGUUAUAUUUUGACUUUAAGUUCAAUUCAGUUUGUUGACCGCCAAGUGUGCUUCCUGCUUUUAGUUUUGAUUUCUUGGAUUUUGCAGCCCUAGAGGCUUCUCUAAGGGGGGUGUAUUGUAUAUGGAAUUAGUGAAACUUUUAAAGAAAUCUAUGGAAUUUAAAA